CUUCGCUGCUCUGGAGCUGGGCUAGAGCUUCAAGUGCUGCUUAACAGGAAAGGGAAAGGUUUGAGCCUGGGGUGAUGAAAAGCUUAUGGGUUCCAGAGUCUGCAGAAUCUGGAUCUGAAGCUCUGCUGUGUGACCAUGGACAGGUUGUGUAAAAAAUCCUUAAGUCGAAUCUGAGGUGGCUCAAGAAGAACCAAAAGGUGCCUUCUCACGCUGAAAUCAUGUCAAAGAAGAGAUGAGAAACUGUAUAUAUAGAAAGGGAGAAGAGGUGAGGCAGUGGAAGCUGAGAAGUUGGGCCGUGGUCGCAUGGCUAGUAAACACAGCACACGGAAAUUGUGAGUCCAAUUGAAACUUAGCAUCAGGGAAGAAGGCCUUCAGGCUAUGACAAACACAGACAAAUCAAAAAAUGAACGAAGAAGAUGGAAAAGGAUGUGUGAUAUCAAAUCUAGAGGCCUGAUCUUCUCAUCCUUCAGAAGGCAAAGGGCCCCCGGGAGGACUUGGUUGAACUGAAUCCGUAGUCAACUACAAUAUGACGUGUAA